rnacentral:rRNA from 1 species
CUUGUAGUUCGAGAGAGGUAGGUGGAAUUUCCAGGUGUAGCGGGUGAAAUGCGUAAAUAUCGGGAGGAACACCGGUGGCGAAGGCGGCCUACUGGGCUCGAUACUGACGCUCAGGCACGAAAGCAUGGGGAGCGAACGGGAUUAGGAUACCCCGGUAGUCCAUGCCGUAAACGAUGGGUACUAGGUGUUGGGGGGAGUCUACCCCCUCAGUGCCGCAGCUAACGCAUUAAGUACCCCACCUGGGGAGUACGAUCGCAAGGUUGAAACUCAAAGGAAUUGACGGGGGCCCGCACAAGCGGUGGAGCAUGUGGUUUAAUUCGAUGCAACGCGAAGAACCUUACCUGGGCUUGACAUGCAGGGGACAGGUAUAGAAAUAUACCCUUCUUCGGACUCCUGUACAGGUGCUGCAUGGCUGUCGUCAGCUCGUGUCGUGAAAUGUUGGGUUAAGUCCCGCAACGAGCGCAACCCUUGUCUUUAGUUGCCAUCAGGUAAUGCUGGGGACUCUAGAGAGACUGCCGGUGACAAACCGGAGGAAGGUGGGGACGACGUCAAGUCAUCAUGGCCCUUACGCCCAGGGCUACACACGUGCUACAAUGGCUGGUACAAUGGGCUGCAAUACAGUGAUGUGGAGCGAAUCCCAAAAAGCCAGCCUCAGUUCGGAUCGUAGUCUGCAACUCGACUACGUGAAGUUGGAAUCGCUAGUAAUCGCGUAUCAGAACGACGCGGUGAAUACGUUCCCGGGCCUUGUACACACCGCCCGUCAAGUCAACCGAGUUGGUUGCACCCCAAGUCGCUGAGGGUAACCCGUAA